UGCAAACUAUAAAAUCUCAGAUUUUUUUCCUUUUCUUUCUAAUUUUAGUUUGGAGAUCCAUACACAUUUUAAAUCUGAAAUGUUGUCUGUCAGAUCCCAGUAUGAGCAGAGAUUUUUAUACCACCUCAUCAGUGGUAAGGAAUUUGUUGAGCUGCAAUUCACAUCAGUUCCAGUCACUGGUUGUGUGGAAUAUGGCUGAUAGAAUUCGUAGUCCAGUGGCAUCUGGAAGUCCACAAGUUAUCUAUCCAUGCUUCAAACAAGAAAGAGAAAUAUUUAUAUUAACUCAAGGCCUGCCAAAGCACAUUAUACCUGUAUUACCCAACUGUGUGGCAUUUAUAACCCAAAUGGAGCUUAAAGCCCGUAUCACACAUUUCCUGUACAACCACUCUUGGCAGAGAAUCACUAUAAAGUUGCUUUCCAGCAUCUGUGUUUGUAUUUCUUUUUUUAAAAAAAAAUAUUGCUGCCAGAUGCGGAAUAUGUGGUUUCCUGCACAUCUAGUGGAGCCAAACAGGAUUUUCUUUAAGGAAAAGUAUUUCUUUUUGAGCAACUGUUCCCACUUUGAGGCUAGUUCUCCAGUCAGACUGACAAGCCUGAAGCUACAAAAGAUUUAAGGUUGAGCAAGGAAGGUAAGGGUGCAUUUUUCCUGGUUAUUUUUGCAGACUGCUUGAGCUAAAGCGUAUGGCAAAUGACAAACCAUUCUUCUCAAUGUUCCUAGGAAGUGCUUUAGGAAAAGAUUAAUUUAGAGAUGGGACAUUAUUUCCAAGUGAAUUUUUCUUCUUCCUUGACCUGUGUGCUUUACUAACUCUUCAAAACCCUCUUGACAUUACUCUUUCAAAAGAUUGCAGACUAAUAUGGUUGUGUUGUCAUGUCUCUGUUUUAUUUUUCAAAUGUGUGUUUUUUCCUAUUUUUGAAUCAAAUCACAAACAUGGGAAUGUAUGUCUGUUCAACUGUGAACUGCAGAUGAAUCGGCAACUGAGCUUUCCAAAACUUUUCAAGAAUAAAUCAUCCCGAGUACAUUAUUGUAUUAUAACUAUGGCAUGUUACACCAUAUUUUCUCUAUCAAAAAAGGGAUGCAGUUGAUACACCAGACAGAAUUAACAGUCAUACCUACAUCUUAAAAACGUCUAGGAAGGUAAACAUAAUAUUUUUAUACAGCUCUAUGUAUGUUUAUAUAGUAGUAAGAUUCAAGGUGCAUCAACAUUGUAAAAUUAAUGCCAUGGCUCAAUGCUAUGGAAUCAUGCGAGCUGUAGCUUAACAAUAACUUUAGCCUUCUCUGCUAAAAGGUAUGGUGCCUCACAAAACUACAACUUCCAUUAUUCUAUAGCACUGAACAAUAACAAUAAUUUUGACAGGACAAUAGGAUGCUUUUGAAGCAUUUCAGUCUUUGACCAUUACAGGUUGAGUAUCCCUUAUCUGAAAUGCUUGGAACCAGAACUGUUUUGGGUUUGGGUUUUUUUUUAUUUUUUUGUUUUUUUUAUUUUACUUGUAUUUGCACAUACAUAUAUAAUGAUAAAUUUGAAGAUGAAACCCAAGUCUAAAAACAAAAUUCACAGGUGUUUCUUAUGCACCUUAUGCUCAUAGCCUGAAGGUAAUUUAUACUAUAUUUUAAAUAGUUUUAUGCAUGAAAAAGUCUAUGUGCAUCGAUCCAUCAUAAAGCAAAGGUGUCACUAUCUCAACCACCCAGAUUUUUUUUAGAGUGUGGAAAAAUACACAAGACAGCUGCAGAUAAAAAUGAUUUUGUUGGAUCCUCUGUUAAAGUAUCUGAAUGAGAGUAUAUGAUUGCACAAUAAAAACCUCAUUUAGAAGCAUACUCAGCUUUCCCAGAUAUACCAUACAAAGAAUUUUGCUGGAUCAGACAAGUGGCUUUGCUAAUCCACUAUUUUUCUUCACGCAGUGACCAAUCUAUUGUUCAUGGAAAAUCCACAAGCAAGACAAGAAGGUUGCCGUGUUCUCUGUCUUGUGUUCCUGAGUAAAUGAUGUACAGAGUCAUAUUAUCUGAUACAUAGUCAUCAUGGCUAGUAGCAACUUGGUCUCCCUGACCUUCCAAUUACCUUUUACAUAUUUUCAAUUUCUCUUGUGGCAGUGAAUAAUACCACUUUGUGAAGAAAUGUCUACUUUUAUUGAAUUAGUAAACCUUAAGGAAAGGAAUACACCUGUUCUUUCUGUUCCUUGUUCUUCUGAGCUGUCAAUUUGACUUUGACUUAUGAGAACCCUAUCAAGGAUUUUCUCAGCAAGAUUUAUUCAGGGGAUGUUUGCCACUGCCUUUCUCUAAAGGCUGGCACAAUGUGACUUGGCCUAGGUCAGCCAGUGGGUUUCCAUGGCAGAGCAGGGAUCUGAACCCUGAUCUCCCAUAGCCCUAGCCCAGCACUCGAACCACUGUACUAUACUGGCUCAUGACAUCUGCCCCUUGCCUGUUGUUUAUCACAAUGCUGCAGAAGAGUACACCCUUACAGUUCCUCCUUAUGGUAUGUGUAUGUGCUUUCCCAUGCCCCAUUGUCUCGCUGGCCUGUUUCCCUAAGGAAGCUAUAUGGCAUUGGGUUGGUAUAGUUAUCAGAACCCGGGAUUGCAUGAAAUCAUGAACUAUAUGGACAAAGUAGGCUGGUUGGAGUCUGUGACCACUAUUCUCAUUUGAUUCAUCUACCAUCAUUAAGCCUGAACUCAAGCCUCAGUGCUUUGCUUCUGGGGUAACAAAGGAGAGAGACUCAAAAGGCCUUUGUCUCCUAUUAGCUCCCAGACAGUUCUUUGGCAUUGUUCUGAAAAAUCUUCUGAGGAAACAGAAAAUGCACUUUCAAUGCCAUUUAAGAUCUUGCAAUCCCUCCUCUUCUCCUCCUCCCGCCUUACUGAACACAAUGACUGCUCUGGGGUUUCUUUCUGCUUUACAGCCUGGCCUUCUGCAAUGGCUCCAGUCUGGAACCAGGCCGGCUCCUGUCAUGAAAGGCCUUAGGUAGCAACUGCCGCCAUGAUGAAUGCUUUAUAGUUCAGCAGUUUUAUCUGCUCUGGAACAUCCAAAUGUCUCCAUUCUGUGCCAACUGAAAAGACAUUGCAAAACUAAUGGGCAGAAUCCAAAGCCAACCUGCCAGGCAAACAGCAGUGUGCUUGCCCAGUGAAGGGAAAGCUCACAGCCAAGAGGCCAGGUGGUUUGUGCCACUUCCCUUCAAAAGAUUGUUGUUGUUUUCAUUGUCAUUGAAAAUCAUUAUGGGAAACAAAAGAUGCCUACACACGUGGCAGUCUGGAUCAUUGCACUGUUGCCCCAAAACUGAUGCCAAUGUGCAAUCAAAAAGCAACAACCAGCUUUGGACAAGAAGGCGGACAGCUGGCCGAAAGAGAAACAUUUACAAGGGUGGAAAUUACACACUGUCAUCUGCCACUCUUCAAAGCAUGCCGCAAGUAUCCAUGUGCCUGCACCUGAAC
rnacentral:lncRNA from 1 species